AAGGACCAGACAGUAUUACUUCCCAAGCAAGCAAAUGAAGAGGGGCACCAGACAAAAUAAGCUUGACUUCCAGCUCAAGGCGAGUGCAGUAUAAAUUCAUCUCUUCUCAUGCAGGUUUGGAUAUCAAAACCUCGCAGGACCCCAGCCAUGUUGAAAGCAUUCAGGAGAUGGAAGAGAUUACAACAGCCUUGGAGCGUGUCUCGGUGAGAUUUGGAGCGACGCCCACCACAGGACUCGUCAAUCAUUACUUGGAGUAGAUAUCCGCGUGCACAGGCAAGAGGCCAUGCACGAAUAUCACCUAAACUUUGUGGGUGCCCCCAAUACUCAUAGUUCCUGACUGGAAUGCACCGGCGGGGGUUUGCGCACAUGUCCUAAUUCCUUAUUGGAAGUGUCCGCGCACACGGGCAAAGGAAUAUGCACGAAUAUCACCUAAAUGUUGUAUGUGCUUUGAAUACUCCUGGUUCCUAAUAGGAAUACAUAGGUAGGGUCUAUGCACACGAACAAUGGGGUCAUGCACAAAUAUCACCUAAAUGCCAUCUUCCUCUAAGUAUACUCCAGGUAAUUAUGUUUGUCUCUUCUUCAUUUCCUUGUAUCGUACAGUAGAGCACAUCUUUGUGCACCAAUGAAUAUCAUUACUGUCAGCUUGGCAGGAGAGACAAAAAGAAAUACUAUUUGUUAAUCAUUCGUGCCUUACAAGUUUUCCCAUUCGAUUGAUGAUGGCAAACAUGCACAGGCACAUUAUGUGCAUGCUCUACUUGGUUUUGUAGACAAAGGUAUAGGUAUUAUCUUCUGUUUUUUGGGGCAGCAGCAAUGGGAUAGAUAUUGAGUUUGUCAAUAUACUCCAUUACUUAUGCUGAGCAUAUAUCAGUACACUAUUUUGGUUUCGGAAACAACGUUGAGCAUCUCCGUUAUAUGCAGAAAUGUUGCUGCACUUUGCUGAUUGUUAUAUUUACAUACUCACCUUCCAUUAUUAUCGUCUUUUUCAAUUUGUACAAAAAAAAUUUCCUGGUCUUUAGAGGGAAUACAAGAUGAGAGGGCUAAUAGUCUAGACAUACCCAGUUAGACUCGGAUGCCUUAACCAAGGCAGGUUAAGAUGCCUCAACGAACGAGAUCUACGCGAACUAGUACAUAGGCAUAGAUAUCAGGCGAGUAACUUGGAGUUCUCAAUCAGAAGACGUCACUGAAGACCCUGGUGGGAAGAAAAUACAGGAGAACAAUAUCAGAGACUGAAAUCUUCAAGAUUUAAGAUCGUCCAGAGUUCUAGCGCUAUAGCCUUUAAACAUUAGUGUAUAAUUGUUCAUGAUUCUUAUUUUUCUUCUAUAAUCGCGAUGAAAGAAUAUGUCAUGCAACUCUGUACUAUACUCGAGAGAAUAAGCAAUAUUGCUGUGAUGCUACUUACAAUAUUUAUUCCCAAUACAAUACAAAAACCCGUCUGAAUUUAUGUAA